rnacentral:lncRNA from 1 species
CACCAACCCUGGUUACAAUAUCACCACCAACCCUGGUUACAAUAUCACCACCAGCCCUGGUUACAAUAUCACCACCAGCCCUGGUUACAAUAUCACCACCAACCUUGGUUCAAUCCUAGUGGAAAAUUCUGUUAGUAUGACCACAACAUGAUGAACCCUUAUUCAACGUUGGGUCAACCUUGGGUCAACCCUGGUUCUGUUAGAAUAACCACAAUAUGACCAACGGGGUAGGAGCGUUGGGCCAGUAACCGAAAGGUUGCUAGAUCGAACCCCCGAGCUGACAAGGUACAAAUCUGUCGUUCUGCCCCAGAGCAAGGCAGUUAACCCACUGUUCCCCGGGCCCUGAGCAAGGCAGUUAACCCACUGUUCCCCGGGCGCCGUUGAUGUGGAUGUCAAUUGUAAGGCAGCCCCCCCCCACCCCACCUCUCUGAUUCAGAGGGUUAAAUGUGGAAGACACAUUUCAGUUGAAUGAAUUCAGUUCGACAACUGACUAGGUAUCCCCUUCCUGGUUCUGUUAGUAUGACCAACCCUAGUUCUGUUAGUAUGAUCAACCCUGGUUCUGUUAGUAUGACCAACCCUGGUUCUGUUUGUAUGCCUAACCUUGUUCUGUUAUGACGACCAGCUCAGGUUCUGUUAUGACGACCAGCUCAGGUUCUGUUAUGACGACCAGCUCAGGUUGACCACAUGACGACCCCUGUGUUCCUCCUCCUCAUCACCUCCAUGUGUUCUCAGUAAAUCCCAGCCAAUUAGAACAGUCCAGAUGUGUGGUAUUGGGGUAGACCACAGGCUCUCACUACCACAUGACACCCUGCAGACCUAUACAACUAUGCUAACAUCAAAUCACUUCCUAGGCUUGUUAAAUAUCUAAAUAUUCGAUCAUCUCGAAGGCAUUCAAAAAAAGGGAAUUUUGAUUCUCUUAGGAGAAUUUCAAGUUCAAGCAAACAUUUGCUAGUUUUUUGUUCCUAUUUCUUACUUUAAUACAACAUGCUGACUGUUUGGGUAAAAUUAUACCAUUGUAUGAAACCUGGACAGGUGCCUGCUAACAACAGAAGGUACAGGACAGAUACAGUGAGCUCCAAAAGUGUUGGGACAGUGAUGUCGUUUUGGCUCUGUGCUCCAGGACUUUGGAUUUGAAAUGAUACAAUGACUAUGAUGUUAAAGUACAGACUAUCAGCUUUAAUUUGAGUUUAUUGUCAUCCAUAUUGGUUGAAUCUUUUAGCAAUUAGUGCACUUUUUGUACAUAGUCAAAACACACAUCACGACGAGAAACAACACAACACUACAUAAAGAGAAACCCAAGACAACCACAUAGCAUGGCAGCAACAAAUAACACAGCAUGGUAGCAACACAAAACAUGGUACAAACAUUAUUGGACACAUACAACAGCACAAAGGGCAAGAAGGUAGAGACAACAAUACAUCGCGCGAAGCAGCCACAACUGUCAGUAAGAGGGUCCAUGGUUUCUUUGAAUUAAGUCUUUGAAUGAAGAGAUUGAGAUAAAACUGUCCAGUUUGAGUGUUUGUUGCAGCUCGUUAAAGUUGCUAGCUGCAGCAAACUGAAAAGAGGUGCGACCCAGGGAUGUGUGUGUUUUGGGGACCUUUAACAGAAUGUGACUGGCAGAACGGGUGUUGUAUGUGGAGGAUGAGGGCUGGUAGUAGGCAUCUCAGAUAGGGGGGAGUGAGGCCUAACAGGGUUUUAUAAAUAAGCAUCAACCAGUGGGUCUUGCAACGGGUAUACAGAGAUGACCAGUUUACUUGACAAACACUUGGCAAUGAUGAGUGAGAAAGUUAGAGGCAUAAAAAGAAUACCCACAAAAAAUGCUAACCUCCCCUGUUAUUGUAAUGGUGAGAGGUUAGCAUGUCUUGGGGGUAUGAUAUAAAAUGCUAACCUCCCCUGUUAUUGUAAUGGUGAGAGGUUAGCAUGUCUUGGGGGUAUGAUAUAAAAUGCUAACCUCCCCUGUUAUUGUAAUGGUGAGAG